CAGGCGUAGUCGAUGGACAACGGGUUGAUAUUCCCGUACCCGUGUAUCCGCGCCCAAUGGCGAAUCAGUGGUGCUAAGUGCCCAAAAGCGGAUGGACCUCCUUCGGGAGGCCGGAAGUGGCUGCGCAUGACCCCUGCUGUAGUAGUCAAGCGAUGGGGUGACGCAGGAAGGUAGCUGGGCCAGUGAGUGGUUGUACUGGUGUAAGCCUGUAGGGCGUUGUGUAGGCAAAUCCGCACAACAUGAGCCUGAGAGGUGAUGCGUAGCCGAUUGAGGUGAAUUCAGUGAUCCUAUGCUGCCGAGAAAAGCCUCUAGUGAGUUGGUACACGGCCCGUACCCCAAACCGACACAGGUGGUCAGGUAGAGAAUA
rnacentral:rRNA from 1 species